GAUGAACGCUAGCUACAGGCUUAACACAUGCAAGUCGCGGGGCCGCAUGGGGGUUGCUUUCCAUCCCCGAUGGCGACCGGCGCACGGGUGAGUAACGCGUAUCCAACCUGCCCUUCACCACGGGCUAACCCGGCGAAAGUCUGACUACUGCCGUUUGUUGUCCCUUCACGGCAUCCGAGUUAGACGCAAGUCUUGUCGCACAGGGAGGGGGAUGCGUCCGAUUUGCCCUACGGCGGAGUAACACCCCACCCUGGCUACGCUCGGUAGGGGUUCUGAGAGGGAGGUCCCCCAGACUGGAACUGAGACACGGUCCAGAAUGCGACGGAAGGCAGGAGUGUGGAAUAUUGGGCAAUGAGCGUAAGCCUGAACCAGCCAAGUAGCGUGCAGGAUGACGGCCCUAGGGGUUGUAAACUGCUUGUAAGCGGGGAUAAAGUGGGCAACGAGUCGGCUUUUGAAGGUACCGAAUGAAUAAGGACCGGCUAAUUACGUG
rnacentral:rRNA from 1 species